AUCACUUCUCAGCCUUUUGGCUAAGAUCAAGUGUAGUAUCUGUUCUUAUCAGUUUAAUACCUGAUAUGUCCUCUCCCUAAAGACAAUAUAUUAAAUGGAUUUUUGGAGCAGGGAGAUGAAAUAGAAGUUUGCUCCAUUCAUUCCACACAUCAACCUGGUAGUGAAGCACCUCCAGGAAUGGUACAUUCCUU
rnacentral:snRNA from 1 species